rnacentral:pre_miRNA from 1 species
CACUCGCCGCCUGGGACUUGGUCUCAACCUGGGACUCUGAAUGGCAUAGGUGAGCAAAGUUUCAGGUGUGCGAGAGU